AUGAAGAAGAAGGGUGUCAGCAUUGUUGCAUUGUGGGAAAGAGUUUCCAAGGCAAAUAAAAGAACUUCGACAUCUACACCAAAUCCUCCUGAUGUGAAGUUGAGAGCAGUAUCAUUCCUCCUACUAUUGAGAGCAAUCUGCAACUGGCACUUGUGCAAGCACAUGAACCUGAUGAUGGCCACACAGAACCUGAGAGUGCAGUUGGCUCCCCAACCCCAAUUGUACAAUGUCAAUGACCAGGAUAAAGUUAGAAGGAGAUACAUCGAGUUGGGGGCAUGUCAACCAAAGAAUCAUAAUUUUCAGUAUAGAGAUAUAAGUGGAUUACAUCGUCGCUUUUCUCCUUCUUGGUUUAAGGAUUACAAGUGGCUUGAGUAUAGUGUGGACAAAGAAGCCGCUUUCUGCUUCGUUUGCUAUUUCUUCAAGGAUAAAACAAGAUGUCCCGGUGGAGAUGCUUUUGUGAAGAAGGGAUUUAAUAACUGGAACAUGAAGUCGAGAUUGAAGAAACAUGAAGGUGAGGUUUUUAGUGCUCAUGCUGAAGCUCAAGAGAAGUAUGAUAGGUUCACUACACCACAAACAUCAAUUCGGGAGUCUAUUUCUUCAAACACCUCACAAUACAAGGCUUUGUAUAAACAACGUUUGACAUGGACACUCAAGUGUGUGAGAUUUCUGUUGCACCAAGGCUUGGCAUUUAGAGGACAUGAUGAAAAUGAGUCUAGUGAUGUGUAUCAGAAUGAACAGUUGGUUGUUUGCUUGCGUUAUGUUGAUAAGAAAGGAAGGGCGGUUGUAAGAUUUCUUGGUCUUGCUCAUGUUGAAGAUACUACCUCUUUGACACUAAAAGCUGCAAUUCAGAAAAUGCUUAUGGACUACAAUUUGAGCUUUGCAAUGGUUCAUGGGCAAGGAUAUGAUGGAGCUAGUAACAUGAGAGGUAAUGCUAAUGGCCUGAAAAAACUGAUUAUGGACGAGUCCCCUUCUGCCUACUAA
rnacentral:rRNA from 1 species